CAGCCGCCGCGGGAAUACGUAGGUGGCAAGCGUUGUCCGGAAUUAUUGGGCGUAAAGGGCUCGCAGGCGGUUUCUUAAGUCUGAUGUGAAAGCCCCCGGCUCAACCGGGGAGGGUCAUUGGAAACUGGGAAACUUGAGUGCAGAAGAGGAGAGUGGAAUUCCACGUGUAGCGGUGAAAUGCGUAGAGAUGUGGAGGAACACCAGUGGCGAAGGCGACUCUCUGGUCUGUAACUGACGCUGAGGAGCGAAAGCGUGGGGAGCGAACAGGAUUAGAGACCCCAGUAGUCCCUGUCUCUUAUAA
rnacentral:rRNA from 1 species